rnacentral:lncRNA from 1 species
UAACUCCCUUGAACCUCUUUCUCUUUCUUCUCUCUUGAAUGAUCUUGUGUUUGGUUGGUGAGAAGUUGUUUAAAGGCACUUAAAAGCUCCCUUUUAUAGCCCUACAAGCAAUAGAUCCAUUAGACACAAAAAUAUAGCCGUUUGAAAUUCAUACAAACCUGCAAAAGUGUGUCAGUCGUGUCCCAGGCGCUCCGGAGACGUCUCCGCUUGAACGCGAGACGUCUCGGCUGUAUAAAAAUUCUUUUGACGAUGUUUGGAGUCGACUCGGCGCUUUACGGGGACGUCUCUGAAGAAGAACAGCUUGAAUGCUUGUUUUUCUGUUUUUCUGAGAGAGUCGGCUCGGCACUUUACGGGGACGUCUCGGGAUGUUUGCGCUUUUUGCAUGGGGACGACUCCGCGACGUCGGGGACGACUCCG